GAAGCAUUGUCUGCUGAACAUGUAUAAUGAGAUUUUGAAACAUGUUUUGUUUUUUUCAUGUACCAAGCACAUUCCCGCUUACAGACACUCGACAUUACAGAUGAGGACAGGCUUAUAGAUGGAAAUAAAUGAAGUAUGCUUAGAAGGAGACAAACAAUGCCAAAUCCCUGGAGAGCCAUGGGGCGUUCAAGGCAGUUCAAGGACUGGUGCUGAGUUUCCUAGUUGAUUUGCAGCAUCUUUUCUUUGAACUAGCAAAAAAUAUGAUGCUGGCAUGCAAAUUGCUCAAUGUAACCUCUUAACACCAUCGUGUUGAAUUGUUGUACAUAAGUGCGUAAA